AUGGCCUGGACCCAUUUCCUCCUCAGCCUCCUCGCUCUCUGCACAGGCCUUGUGACCUCCUAUGAGCAGAUUCAGCCAACCUUUAUGUCGGUGGCCCAGGGACAGACGGCCAGGUUCACCUGUGGGGGAAACAACAUUGGAAGAAAACAUGUUCACUGGUAUCAACAGGAGCCAGGUCAGGCCCCCAUCCAGGUCAUCUAUGCUACUAGCAACCGGCACUCAGGGAUCCCUGACCAAUUCUCUGGCUCCAAUUUGGGGAACACGGCCACCCUGACCAUCAGCGGGGCCCAGGCCAAGGACGAGAAUGACUAUUACUGUCAGGUGUGGGACAGCAGUGAUAAAGCUCACAGUGACACAGGCAGAUGGGGAAUUGUGGCAAUAACCCCAUUCUCUGUAUAUGUCACUCUCUUCUCCAGCCCGAAGAAGACUGGUGACAAACCCAUGAGCAGGUCUGACCCAGGUUCCCAGGUCUGA